rnacentral:rRNA from 1 species
GACGAACGCUGGCGGCGUGCUUAACACAUGCAAGUCGAACGGAAAGGCCCUGCUUUUGUGGGGUGCUCGAGUGGCGAACGGGUGAGUAACACGUGAGUAACCUGCCCUUGACUUUGGGAUAACUUCAGGAAACUGGGGCUAAUACCGGAUAGGAGCUCCUGCUGCAUGGUGGGGGUUGGAAAGUUUCGGCGGUUGGGGAUGGACUCGCGGCUUAUCAGCUUGUUGGUGGGGUAGUGGCUUACCAAGGCUUUGACGGGUAGCCGGCCUGAGAGGGUGACCGGCCACAUUGGGACUGGGAUACGGCCCAGACUCCUACGGGAGGCAGAAGUGGGAAAUAUUGCACAAUGGGCGGAAGCCUGAUGCAGCAACGCCGCGUGCGGGAUGACGGCCUUCGGGUUGUAAACCGCUUUCGCCUGUGACGAAGCGUGGGUGACGGUAAUGGGUAAAGAAGCACCGGCUAACUACGU